CCCCUCUCACACACACACACAGCACCCCUUACACACACACACAGCACUCCACACACACUCCGCACCCGUACACACAAACACAUACACUGCACCCCUCAAUGCAGUAUGUGUGUGUGUUUGUGUGUAUGUAUUCCGCAGACUGUGUGUAUGUAUUCAGCAGUCUGUGUGUACUCAGCAUUCUGUAGGUGUGUGUGUAACGGAUCACGUGGCACCCCGACUGGGUACCUCCGUUGAAGGAUG